ensembl:snRNA U6 U6 spliceosomal RNA
GUGCUCGCUUCGGCAGCACAUAUACGAAAAUUGGAACGAGACAGAAAAGAUUAGCAUGGCCUCUGUGCGAGGACGGCAUGCAAAUUCAAGACAGAAAUAGAUCGAUAUAUUU